UUUGUCGGCAAAGAAAGUGACCCAUAUAAUAUAUUAUAUAUAUAUGAGAGCUUUGCAAAAUUUCAACCAUCCUUUUUAGGAGUAAAUUUAUCUAGUUCCCACUUCAACUACACAGUAUUCACAUAUCUAAAUUCCUUCAACUACACAUUAUUCAUAUGAUGUUUUGUGCUCAUGUGGAAAUUUUUUAACACUACACCUGAUGGUUGAGUCAUUGUUGUGGUCUAUGCGGUGAUGAAAUUUGGUGGAAAACAUGUUUAACGCUAUAUUCUACCAUCUAAAUGAAAUUGAUUGUUUUACACCAGGUUUUGCAAGGUUUUAUUCAAGGUAUGUUAAGGCAAAAUUCUCUUUUUCAUAUCGCACGAAAUCUUAAAAUUUAUAGAUCAUCAAAUGAAUUGCUUUACUAUACUAUUCCUAGAAAGACCCUCUGUGAAGGGCAUUGAGAAGUGAGCUGAUGUUAUGCUUUGAUUCUAUCAUAUUGUUCUUAUACUUGUAUCCUUGUGAAGUGUGUUGCUGGUAAAGUUAUCCUCCGUUAAGUUUCUUAUUUCUUAUAUCUACUUGCGAGAUAUUGUCUUAAGAUUAAGGCUAAAAUAUUGGGGAAUUAUCAUGUUAUACCCAGGGGAGUUGUUAAGUCAUUCUUUCUUGUCAAAACCUUUUACAAAAAUGUCAAUUGAAAAUGAUACUAAUAUUAAAUCUUGUAGUCUAUUCUUUUUGUUAAUUAUAUACUUGUCAAGAAACAUAUUUUCUAAGACGGACCAUACUAUUAUCAAUUUGGAGUCAUUCAUAUAAAUCAAGUUAAGCAUGUUAGUAUCUUUUUAAGUUUCUAGAUGACUGAUUUUCUAACUUGAAGUCGAGUCAAGAGCUUUGAAUCCAUUAUGACUCUUUAAACCUAAAUGGUUGUACGAAAGUUAAAUGAGUUCAUGAAAAGAUUCUUUCAGCACCUUGAGUUCCUUUUGUAUAUCCUCAUGUUUAAGUUACCUUUCUGAAAUCGAGUUAGGUACUUAAUAGGCUGUUCUAAAAGUAUAUGAGGUUCUAUAUGAGGCGUUUACAUGUAUGAAAGUGAAUACAGAAUUAUGAGAACAUGAGUUCCAACGGGUCAAGGUUGGCAACAUGAGUAUGGUAACAUAUAUGCAUUACGAAUCCAUGACAUGACAUGCUAUGCAGUCUACUUCCGAGCUAUAAUCGGAAGGUAUGAGGCCUAUUGCCUAUAUUUAUACGUAUGAGACACAGAUGACCACAAGUUGGCGAAUAUGAUGCCGGUUCGCUACCGGAAGGCACCACCAUUGCUAGCAUUUGGUUGGGUAUGUCAUGCAUUUGCAUAUAUAUAUGUACUCACGACAUACGAUCAAAUGAGCAUAUCAUGCAUAUUUAAUUAGUUGGAGGUCAGAUGUCAGCCAGGGAGGCUAUUAGAGUUCCAGUUUCAGGUGGUAUGUCUAUUACCCUUUCUAUCACAGCUAUUUAUGACAUUAUUUUCCGCCUUACAUACUAGUACAUUUUCAUUCGUACUGACAUCCCAUUGCCUGGGGAUGCUGCAUGUCGUGCUGCAGGUUUGAACAAAUAUCUUGAUCUGCCUUUGCCACAGGGUUAUCGUCUCAGUUGAGGAUUGAUAAGCUACAUUCUUCCUGGAGCUGUUGGUUGUUUAUAGAUUUUACAUACUUGAGUUUUGUAUAUAGUUAUUGGCGUCGUUGGGGACUUACCCCAACCAGUUGAGUUGUAGUAUUCGUAGAGACUUGUUGACAUUUUUUUUGGUUGGGUCGGUUUCUUUUCCUUUAUGUGUUAGUUGUUUCGCUCGGUUAAGUGAGGUACUGGGUCUCUGUUUCGCCUCCGCUAGAUUGGGGCGUGACAAACUUGGUAUCAGAGCAAGUCGUGUCCCAGGGAGUCCACAAGUUGUGUCUGGUAGAGUCUUGCUUAUAGGUGUGUUGUGCACCACACUUAUAAUCAGGAGGCUACAAGGCAUUUACAUAUAGUUACUAAUCUUUCAUCCUCUAGAUCGUGAUAUAGAGCUAAGUCAUAGGAGGUUUCUUCUUAUUCACACUCUACUUAAGUGUCAUAUAAAUUGUAUCUAUUAAAGGCGACCUUAUAUUAGGC
rnacentral:lncRNA from 1 species